GGUUGUGUGGCUCAAUGGUAGAGCGCUUGCCUUGCAUGCAUUGGGCACGGGGUUCAAUCCUCAGCACCACAU
rnacentral:tRNA from 1 species